UAGCCCGGCCCGCAUGAAAAUUUAUAACCCAAAACCCGUAUUUUUUAAUGUGGGUUAAGAAUGGGCCGUCUAAUUUUACGCUAGGGUACCAAUAGGGUUAAUUAUUUUCCAUUCUCUUUCAGUUAUACCGUACAACUUGACAUCGAAAUCAAAAUCAAAGGUUCUGGGUUUGUUCUGAAUCGAAAUCGAAGGCGAGGGGUUUGUCCUGAAUCGAAAUCGAAGGCCAUAUGUUCUUAUGAAGACGAAAAUGAAAUCGAAGGCUAAGGGUUUGUUCUGAAUCGAAAUCGAUGGAUCCGUAACAUGGACGUUCUAAUUUCAUCUCACAUGGAUCUUCUGAAAACGAAAACGAAAUCAAAGGAGGACCAAUCCGGUUUAGAAAAGCUAUUGGACAUCUUGGCAUCUUGCACCUGAGCUUGGGAAUCUCGAACAUUUACAAUAUUUAGUGGAGUGAAAGUUGAAUUGAGUGUUAGAGACUUGGAGAGUGGAGCUUUGCUUUACAUGACUUAUUGGAAUUUUGAUUUUUACACUUCAUGAAUAAAAACAUGUAAACUUUGGUUUUUUUAAUUUCAUACUUUGAAUUUGAGGACAAAAAUGAAUAAAAGAGACUUUUUCAUUUAUAUAAUCA